UAGUCCACGCCCUAAACGAUGCACAUUUGGUAUCGGCUUGUUGGAGUCGGUGCCGGAGCAAACGCGUUAAAUGUGCCACCUGGGGAGUACGUUCGCAAGAAUGAAACUCAAAGGAAUUGACGGGGGCCCGCACAAGCGGUGGAGCAUGUGGUUUAAUUCGAUGAUACGCGAGGAACCUUACCAGGGCUUAAAUGUAAGUUGCAUUAGCUAGAGAUAGUUAUUUCUUCGGACUACUUACAAGGUGCUGCAUGGUUGUCGUCAGCUCGUGCCGUGAGGUGUCAGGUUAAGUCCUAUAACGAGCGCAACCCCUGUUGUUAGUUGCCAGCGAUUCAAGUCGGGAACUCUAACAAGACUGCCAGUGCAAACUGUGAGGAAGUGGGGAUGACGUCAAAUCAUCACGGCCCUUACGUCCUGGGCUACACACGUGCUACAAUGGUAGGUACAGAGAGCAGCCACUACGCGAGUAGGAGCGAAUCUAUAAAACCUAUCACAGUUCGGAUCGG
rnacentral:rRNA from 1 species